rnacentral:tRNA from 1 species
GGAGGAGUGGCGGAGUGGUCUAUCGCACCGGUCUUGAAAACCGACGUGGGCGCAAGCCCACCGUGGGUUCGAAUCCCACCUCCUCCGCCA